rnacentral:piRNA from 1 species
UCAUAACAUUUCAGUUUAUCAUGGGACCUG